rnacentral:rRNA from 1 species
CGACCCCAGGUCAGGCGGGAUCACCCGCUGAGUUUAAGCAUAUCAAUAAGCGGAGGAGAAGAAACUUACAAGGAUUCCCCUAGUAACGGCGAGCGAACCGGGAUCAGCCCAGCUUGAGAAUCGAGCGGCAUUGUCGUUCGAAUUGUAGUCUGUAGAACCGUCCUUAAUUGAGU